rnacentral:rRNA from 1 species
CCUACGGGCGACAGCAGUGAGGAAUAUUGGUCAAUGGGCGCGAGCCUGAACCAGCCAAGUAGCGUGAAGGAUGACUGCCCUCCGGGUUGUAAACUUCUUUUGUCGAGGAGUAUAGUUCAGCAUGUGUGCCUUUUUCUAUGUACUUUAUGACUAAUGAUAGGCUCACUCCGUGCCAGACGCCGCGCUAAUAUGGUGGAUCCGAGGAUUAUCCGGAUUUAUUGGGGUAAACGGGACCGUAGAGGGGUUGUUAAGUCAGGUGUGAAAGCUUGCGGCUCAACCGGAAAAUUGCAAUUGAUACUGGCAGUAGUGAGGACAGUGGAGGGAGUAGGAAUUCGUGGUGUAGCGGUGAAAUGCUUAGAUAUCACGAAGAACUCCGAGGGCGAGGGCAGCUUACGAAACAGCCACUGACAGGGAGGCUCGAAAGUGUGGGUAUCAAACAGGAUUAGAACCCCUGUAGUA